rnacentral:rRNA from 1 species
AUUGAACGCUGGCGGCAGGCUUAACACAUGCAAGUCGAGCGGGGAAAGGUAGCUUGCUACCUGACCUAGCGGCGGACGGGUGAGUAAUGCUUAGGAAUCUGCCUAUUAGUGGGGGACAACAUUCCGAAAGGAAUGCUAAUACCGCAUACGCCCUACGGGGGAAAGCAGGGGAUCUUCGGGCCUUGCGCUAAUAGAUGAGCCUAAGUCAGAUUAUCUAGUUGGUGGGGUAAAGGCCUACCAAGGCGACGAUCUGUAGCGGGUCUGAGAGGAUGAGCCGCCACACUGGGACUGAGACAAGGCCCAGACUCCUACGGGAGGUAGCAGUGGGGAAUAUUGAACAAUGGGCGAAAGCCUGAUCCAGCCAUGCCGCGUGUGUGAAGAAGGCCUUUUGGUUGUAAAGCACUUUAAGCGAGGAGGAGGCUACUUGGAUUAAUACUCUAGGAUAGUGGACGUUACUCGCAGAAUAAGCACCGGCUAACUCUGUGCCAGCAGCCGCCGUAACAC